UUUCACAUCUUUUUAAAAUACGUCUUGAAAUACUUCAAUUUUUUAUAUUUUAUUGAUUCAAUUUGAAAAUGAAUGUUAACAAAUGCAUAUUGACAAGUAUAACAAGCUUAAUAACGGUAGUUGAAAAAAAUGUAUGUAGCUUGGCUUAACCUUGUUAAGUGAUUCCUGUCUAUAAUAGUUCAAUAGACAAAACUGGCCUCCAAGUGUUAUAUAACAGAUUAAUAACUCGAGGUCUAAGUUAACUCACCUUUAUGGUGGUUACCUUUUUUUCGUAAAAAACAUAUACAACAAAACCUUGUGGCACCCAACAACCCCAUCAAAUGCUUUGGAGAUAUCCAGAGUCAUGGCCUUAUUCUGAUACAACUGGUGGCCUUAAAGCGGGAGACGUAAUUAAAUUUCUUCAUAACCUUUAAGAGAGCGGAGCAUAUUGCAUUUGGCCGUAAUACGCAGCGUUGUUCGCCGUUUCUGGAGAUCGGCGAAACGUUCGCAACGUUCCACAUGCUGGUAAUACUCCGGCGCGGUAAGCAAGAUUGAAAAGGAUGCGAAAUGGACGUGCAAGCGACGGAAAACACUUUCAAAGGAGAAGUAUUCAUAUGUUAUCCCAGCCAGGAGAAUAGAGAAGCAGAGAAGACAACAUUUCACUUGAAUAACUUAAAAUUACUGUAGCUCCUUCAUUUAAGGUCCGCUGGAGAAUUGGGUAUAUCUUUAAGCUCCAUAGCCAGAAGAAUAAUGGAAUAAAAAGUAGAAUCCUCCGAUGCCGUUUGGGGUUGUUGGAUCCAAGCUUAGACAACUGAAA